rnacentral:rRNA from 1 species
GAUCCUGGCUCGGGAUGAACGCUAGCUACAGGCUUAACACAUGCAAGUCGAGGGGCAGCAUUUUAAUUUGCUUGCAAACUAAAGAUGGCGACCGGCGCACGGGUGAGUAACACGUAUCCAACCUGCCGAUAACUCUGGGAUAGCCUUUCGAAAGAAAGAUUAAUACCGGAUGGCAUAGGAUUAUCGCAUGAUAAUCCUAUUAAAGAAUUUCGAUUAUCGAUGGGGAUGCGUUCCAUUAGG